rnacentral:rRNA from 1 species
AACGAACGCUGGAGGCAUGCCUAACACAUGCAAGUCGAACGAGAUCUUCGGGUCUAGUGGCGCACGGGUGCGUAACGCGUGGGAAUCUGCCCUUUGGUUCGGAAUAACAGUUGGAAACGACUGCUAUACCGGAUGAUGACGAAAGUCCAAAGAUUUAUCGCCAGAGGAUGAGCCCGCGUAGGAUUAGCUAGUUGGUGUGGUAAAGGCGCACCAAGGCGACGAUCCUUAGCUGGUCUGAGAGGAUGAUCAGCCACACUGGGACUGAGAACACGGCCCAGACUCCUACGGGAGGCAGCAGUGGGGAAUAUUGGACAAUGGGCGAAAGCCUGAUCCAGCAAUGCCGCGUGAGUGAUGAAGGCCUUAGGGUUGUAAAGCUCUUUUACCCGGGAUGAUAAUGACAGUACCGGGAGAAUAAGCUCCGGCUAACUCCGUGCCAGCCGCCGCCGUAA